UACGGAGGGUGCAAGCAUUAAUCGGAUUUAUUGGGCGUAAAGGGCGCGUAGGCGGAUAUGUAAGUCAGAUGUGAAAUUUCCGGGCUCAACCUGGGAGCUGCAUUUGAAACUACAUUGUCUAGAGGAUAGGCGGAGAAAAUAGAAUUCCACAAGUAGCGGUGAAAUGCGUAGAUAUGUGGAAGAAUACCGGUGGCGAAGGCGGUUUUCUAGCUUACUCCUGACGCUAAAGCGCGAAAGCAAGGGGAUCAAACAGG
rnacentral:rRNA from 1 species